UACGUAGGGAGCAAGCGUUGUCCGGAAUCAUUGGGCGUAAAGCGCGCGUAGGCGGCCCGAUAAGUCCGCUGUGAAAGUCAAGGGCUUAACCCUUGAAUGCCGGUGGAAACUGUCGGGCUAGAGUCCGGAAGAGGCGAGUGGAAUUCCUGGUGUAGCGGUGAAAUGCGCAGAUAUCAGGAAGAACACCCGUGGCGAAGGCGGCUCUCUGGGACGGUACUGACGCUGAGACGCGAAAGCGUGGGGAGCGAACAGG
rnacentral:rRNA from 1 species